UUUGUCAAAGCAGGACCAGCUGGGAUUCGUUGGCUGACUCCCAGAUGCGACUGUGAAGAAGCGGAUAUUGGGUGCUCUCCCACCUCGUCAGGAGCAGCGUUCUCCUGCCUGCUCUUGGCACCCCCUAGCAUCCUGUGCCCUGCUAAGGUGUUAACUGACAACUGACAGAUUUUACUAAGAGCCUACUCUUCCCAGUAGUAUUUUCACUUCAAAAGUUGACUUAAAAACU
rnacentral:lncRNA from 10 species